UGGGGAAUAUUGCACAAUGGGGGAAACCCUGAUGCAGCGACGCCGCGUGAGCGAAGAAGGUUUUCGAAUCGUAAUGCUCUGUCCUAUGGGAAGAUAAUGACGGUACCAUAGGAGGAAGCCCCGGCUAACUACGUGCCAGCAGCCGCGGUAAUACGUAGGGGGCAAGCGUUGUCCGGAAUCACUGGGCGUAAAGGGUUCGCAGGCGGAAAUGCAAGUCAGUUGUGAAAGGCAGAGGCUCAACCUCUGUAAGCAAUUGAAACUGUAUUUCUUGAGAUGUGGAGAGGCAAGUGGAAUUCCUAGUGUAGCGGUGAAAUGCGUAGAUAUUAGGAAGAAUACCGGUGGCGAAGGCGACUUGCUGGACACAAACUGACGCUGAGGAACGAAAGCGUGGGUAGCAAACAGG
rnacentral:rRNA from 1 species